rnacentral:rRNA from 1 species
UACGGGAGGCAGCAGUGGGGAAUAUUGCACAAUGGGCGCAAGCCUGAUGCAGCCAUGCCGCGUGUAUGAAAAAGGCCUUCGGGUUGUAAAGUACUUUCAGUCGUGAGGAAGGUGUUAAGGUUAAUAACCUUAGCAAUUGACGUUAGCGACAGAAGAAGCACCGGCUAACUCCGUGCCAGCAGCCGCGGUAAUACGGAGGGUGCGAGCGUUAAUCGGAAUUACUGGGCGUAAAGGGCACGCAGGCGGUUAAUUAAGUUGGAUGUGAAAUCCCCGGGCUUAACCUGGGAAUGGCAUUCAAGACUGGUUAGCUAGAGUCUUGUAGAGGGGGUAGAAUUCCAUGUGUAGCGGUGAAAUGCGUAGAGAUGUGGAGGAAUACCGGUGGCGAAGGCGGCCCCUGGACAAAGACUGACGCUCAUGUGCGAAAGCGUGGGGAGCAAACGAGGGAUUAGAUA